rnacentral:rRNA from 1 species
AGUGAACGCUGGCGGUAGGCCUAACACAUGCAAGUCGAACGGCAGCACAGGAGAGCUUGCUCUCUGGGUGGCGAGUGGAGGACGGGUGAGGAAUACAUCGGAAUCUACUCUGUCGUGGGGGAUAACGUAGGGAAACUUACGCUAAUACCGCAUACGACCUACGGGUGAAAGCAGGGGAUUUUCGGACCUUGCGGGAUUGAAUGAGCCGAUGUCGGAUUAGCUAGUUGGCGGGGUAAAGGCCCACCAAGGCGACGAUCCGUAGCUGGUCUGAGAGGAUGAUCAGCCACACUUGAACUGAGACACGGUCCAGACUCCUACGUGAGGCAGCAGUGGGGAAUAUUGGACAAUGGGCGCAAGCCUGAUCCAGCCAUACCGCGUGGGUGAAGAAGGCCUUCGGGUUGUAAAGCCCUUUUGUUGGGAAAGAAAUCCAGCUGGCUAAUACCCGGUUGGGAUGACGGUACCCAAAGAAUAAGCACCGGCUAACUUCGUGCCAGCCGCCGCCGUAA